UACAUAGAAACGGAACUAGGUGUCUAUUAGUAGACUUAAAAGGGAAGUUGGUGAAAAACCAACGCGGUCCCGCCACUGUAAAUGGGAGUAAAACGGCAAAUGACCACUGUAUCGAUUAGGAUAUGGGAAGGUGCCGUAAACGAUGACCAUAAGCCAGGAAACCUGCCUGUAUCCGUGCACCAGUG
rnacentral:ncRNA from 1 species